UCUGCAAGAUUCCCUGAGCACCGAGGAAAGACAGCCAUUCCACCGAGGACUGAAUAUUCCAAGAUCUCCCACUCGCUGCACAGUAUUUGCUGUCGAUCUCUGCGUUUGUCCUCAUCUACUUCCGGAGGAAGCUUCUCUGAUGGUGGUUGAGCAAGAAACUGACCUAUGAGUGUAGCUGACUCUGUCGGAGUCAUUUCAUUGCUACGGUCCUUCAGCAGAACAUUGCUGAUUGGUUUUCCCCUGUGUCACUCGCUUAAUUGGUCUCUGGUUAGUGGCUACCUGAGCAGUGUCACAGAUAGGUUGAUCUAACAGAAUAGGCUUUAAAUCCAACCAUGUAAUUGUUGGUUACUCCCACAAGCCUGGCGCCACUGUUGUGCUAGCAUAUUCGGCAGGCAGUCAUCGUUGUAGAUCGAAGGGUUGUGUAGCUGGGGCCGCAUGUGAGAACAUCUAGAACAGCUGCACAUUACUGCACCUUCUAAGCCGGAGCCAGCACUGCGUCCAGUCCAGAAUCUUUAACCCAUGAUUGAUAGCAGAAAAUACCAUACGACUCUUCCUGAAAUAUUAAUAUAGACUGGCUGCCUAGAUAACCCCCAAUGUCUGCCUCCCUCUGCCUCCCCAGCUCUGGAAUUGCAGAUGCAGGUUGUGGACAUAUUUGAAUUGCCAUAAAUCUACAAACUAGUUGAGGAGAACUGAUGAGUGUAAGACACAUUUUUGGUUCUCUUAUUCUGAACCUGACAAAAUACUCCCCUGUUUCAACCAUUACUUUAUGUUAUCAAAUAAAGAUUCGUAGUUCUUUUCAUGUUAUCUUGUAAAACUCAUGAAAUAUUUUAUGAUCUUUGU